AUUGAACGCUGGCGGCACGCCUAACACAUGCAAGUCGAGCGGCAGCAUGCUUAGUAGCAAUACUAAGUGAUGGCGAGCGGCGGACGGGUGAGGAACACGUAGGAACCUGCCCAAGAGAGGGGGAUAACUAAGGGAAACUUUAGCUAAUACCGCAUAAUCUCUGAGGAGAAAAGUUGCCCGCAAGGGUAGCGCUUUUGGAGGGGCCUGCGUCCGAUUAGUUAGUUGGUGAGGUAAUGGCUCACCAAGACGAUGAUCGGUAACUGGUCUGAGCGGACGACCAGUCACACUGGGACUGAGACACGGCCCAGACUCCUACGGGAGGCAGCGGUGGGGAAUCUUGGACAAUGGGGGCAACCCUGAUCCAGCGAUGCCGCGUGGGUGAAGAAGGCCUUCGGGUUGUAAAGCCCUUUAGGCUGGGAAGAAGAGUGCGGGGUGAAUAAUCCUGUACUUUGACGGUACCAGCAGAAUAAGCACCGGCAAACUCUGUGCCAGCCGCCGCCGUAA
rnacentral:rRNA from 1 species